ACCCGCUGAACUUAAGCAUAUUAGUAAGCGGGGGAAAAGAAACUAACAAGGAUUCCCCUAGUAGCUGCGAGCGAACAGGGAUUAGCCCAGCACUGAAUCCCAAAGGCCUCGCCUUUAGGGAAAUGUAGUGUUUAGGAGUGCCCGUUUAACCCGGGGUCCGUGCACCGCGUUCAAGUCCAUCUUGAACGGGGCCACGGUCCGAAGAGGGUGCCAGGCCCGUAGAUGACCGGUGCCGGCCCCGGGUGGGCCCCUCCUUAGAGUCGGGCUGCUUGAGAGUGCAGCCCUAAGCGGGUGGUAAACUCCAUCUAAGGCUAAAUACAACCACGAGACCGAUAGAGAACAAGUACCGUGAGUUUAAAGUUGAAAAGAACUCUGAAUGAGAGAGU
rnacentral:rRNA from 1 species